CUGCUCUGCCAUCACGUAAGAGAAGUAAACACUUCACAGUCGUGUUCUUGCUCCAGGAGUCUUCAGGAUGCCAUUUUCAGGUCUUCCAGUCAAAAGAACUGUGAGUGUGAACAAGGGAACUCUACAGCCUUGUAUGACACUCUACCACAUUUAAAGGUCCUUCUAGGACAAAAAGAGUAAUUUACUCUUUUGAAUUUGCAAAUGCAUUUAUUUUCAAAUAAAUACUCCUAUUUAGCCCUUUGUAUAACAUCUGUAAGAAUUCUGACAGCCUCUAAGAUUAUCACAUUGUAACAAAUAAUCGCAAUAAAAUUAAUUGGAUAGCAAAGCCAGCUUUAAGGAUAGUAAUCCUAC
rnacentral:lncRNA from 1 species